rnacentral:rRNA from 1 species
GGCGUAGUCGAUGGGAAACAGGUUAAUAUUCCUGUACUUGGUGUUACUGCGAAGGGGGGACGGAGAAGGCUAUGUUGGCCGGGCGACGGUUGUCCCGGUUUAAGCGUGUAGGCUGGUUUUCCAGGCAAAUCCGGAAAACUAAGGCUGAGGCGUGAUGACGAGGCACUACGGUGCUGAAGCAACAAAUGCCCUGCUUCCAGGAAAAGCCUCUAAGCAUCAGGUAACAUCAAAUCGUACCCCAAACCGACACAGGUGGUCAGGUAGAGAAUACCAAGGCG